UUACAGGUUUAGGUGGUGCUGGUAAUGUGGAGUUGUAAGGGGUGCUCAGAAAAAGUGUCAAGUAGGCCCAAGCUUUUGCAUCACUACAAAUUAAAACAUCCACAUUUUGGACGUCAUUGCCACUUCCCAUGUACAUACCUGCAUUGUCCAUGCACCUUUAAAACAUGGAAUGCACUUAUUGUCCAUCAAAAUAAAUGCCACAAAACAGUGUUGACCACUACAACAAAAGCUAUUUUCUGUUGUCACCUUUGUGAAUGCAAUGAUUUGGCAUCAGUGCGGGACUAUUUUGCUCACAUAUAUUCACAUCUAAAAAGAAAUGAAACACUUACUUGUAUGUUCCUAGGUUGUAACUUUAAAACAAACGUUUACUCUACAUUUACGUCACACAAAAACCGUAAACACAGUCACUACACUGUGUUUGAUUUUAAACAAGGCAUAGUUAAAAAAGAGACCCCUUCUGCAAAUGAAUUUGAGGGAAAUAGUCAGUUUGUAGAGCAGUUGGAUGCCAUUGUUCCUUCACACAGCCCUUGUCAUACUGAGGACUUGGAAAAACUCAUAGAGCAAAGAUUUGCAGCUGCUUUGCUAAAACUCGAGCAUUUGGUCCAUGUUCCAAGCACAGCUAUUGAUGCAUUUCUAGAGGAGCUGUAUCAUUUGAUUUGUACUGCACCCAUACCAUUGUCCUGUGACAUUGUAACAAACAUAUUGAAUCAAAGAAACCUACAUGUAGAUAAUGUGGUUGUCACAGAGACUGUUAGUGCAGUUUGUUCAGGCAAUCCUGUGCCACGAUGCAUACAAAAGGGUGGUCUUCUAAGCACAGCGUAUCUGCGUAAGCAGUAUUACAAGAAUAAUUUCUGUGUUGUAGAACCAGUUGAAUAUAUCCUUGAUGUUAAAAAUAAACAAAGCUUCCAAUAUGUACCAUUACUGAAGUUGUUACAGCAGCUUUUGAAUAGAAGUGAUAUUGUUGAUGAAGUAGUUGAAUGCCACAAAAAACAGAAGGAAACAAAUACUACUGGUUCAUAUUGUUAUCGGAAAUCAAGUGAUGGUUCCUUAUUUAAGGAAAAUACUUUCCUUACUGGAGAGAAGCUAAGGCUUUCUUUACGUUUUUAUGUGGAUGACUUUGAAGUGUGUAACCCACUUGGUACCUCACGGAAGAAACACAAGCUUUGUGCCAUUUAUUGGGUUUUAGCUAACUUGCCUCCUGAAUCUCAUUCUUCCUUAUCAUCCAUCUACUUAGCAGUGUUAUGCAAAACCACAGAUGUUAAAACCUAUGGUUAUGACAAAAUAUUCGAACCCCUUCUACAUGAUCUGAAAAAUCUUGAAGAACAUGGCAUUUAUGUUCCACUUUUAGGAGAGUCAGUUAAAGGUACAGUCAUAAGUGUAGUUACAGAUAACCUUGGUGCACACAGUGUUGCAGGAUUUAUGCAAAGUUUUUCUGUGGAAUAUUAUUGCAGAUUUUGCACAGGUAGAAGCAGUGAUAUUCAGCUACAUUCUGUAGCAUCUGGUGUUUUCCAGCUAAGAAACAAAGAGCUUCACCAGGUCCAUGUAAAAGAAGCUCAAGAGACAGGUACAAGCUGUUAUGGCGUUAAAAGAGAAUGUGUCUUCUCAAAAAAUCUGUCGCACUUUCAUGUAAUUUUUGGUUAUCCACCAGAUCUUGCCCAUGAUGUUUUUGAGGGUAUAAUCCCAGUAGAGUUGGCUCAUUGCUUGACGGUCCUCAUAUCAAAGAAGUUUUUCACAUUAGCCGACUUGAACAAUGCGAUUCUGAAGUUCCCCUACAAAUGGGCAGAUAAGACAAACAGACCUCAUGUAGUGUCACAAACCUUCUGUAGCACAAAAACUGUUGGAGGAAAUGCACACGAAAAUUGGAGUUUGCUUCGGUUCUUGCCUUUUUUAGUUGGAUCACUUGUGCCUGAGGAUGAGCCUGCGUGGCUUGUUCUCAUGGAUCUGAAGGAUAUAACCGAACUUGUUGUUUCUCCUGCUCAUAGUGAUGACUCACUGGCCUUUUUGGAAAGCAAAAUCAUAGAGCACAGACAGAGAUAUCAGGCACUGUUCCCUGAUAUCAAGCUACUACCCAAACACCAUUAUUUGGAGCAUUAUCCACAGAUGAUCAGGCUUUUCGGUCCAGUAGUUGGGCAGUGGACAAUGCGUUUUGAAGCUAAGCAUAGCUUUUUCAAGCAGGUCAUCAGACACACAAGCUGCUUCAAAAAUGUACCUCUCUCAUUGGCCUCAAAGCAUCAGAUGAUGAUAGCAUACCAUCUAAGCUCCCCAUCUCUUGGCAAGUCUAAACUUGAGGUCUCAGCUAUAACAACAUUUCCAGUGGAUUUGCUUAAAGAAGAGAUAGCAAACAUCAUUAGGCAUAGAUUCCCAGACAUACUAGAGGUCAACCUUGCACAGUGUGUGACAAUAAAGGGCAUAACUUACAGAAAUGGAAUGGUACUUUCUCACAGGGCAACAGGAGGAUUGCCAGAAUUCUGUGAAAUAAAACACAUCUGUAUUUUAAACCACAGCAUAUACUACAUUGUCAGAGAGCUGGGUGGCUGGUACAGAGAACAUUUCAGAGCUUUUGAGCUCAAGUCAGUGUCCACAAGAGUAUUCACUCUUGUUUCACUUAGUGAACUCCUUGACACUUAUCCACUUGUUGACUACAAGAUUGGGUCAGUCCGCAUGGUGACUUUGAAAAGGCAUAUAGAAAUACAAGAAUAACUGUACAAAAUGGGGUCUCCGCUGAUCCUUAAGAUCAUCUUGACUGACGGAACAAGUCAAAGGCUCACUCUGUCCAGUGGGCCGCCUGAAUCAAUUGAGGACCUCAUUGUUGAAGUAAAGAGACAGUGUUGUCUUGAGGGCAAUUUCAGACUUCAGUUCAUGGACUCCUUAUUUGGGAACGAGUUCCUAAACCUCACCUCAAUUUCGGAAAUAGAAGACAAGGGGACAAUUAAAGUCAUUGAUAUUUCAAGGCCCACUAUUAUUCAGCAGAGUAAUUCUAUAGUUCUUGAUUGUGUCCAAGACUCUGAGAACCCCAGUACUUCUUUUGAUUACAACUCUUCCUUCAUGACUGACAGAUCUAUUGAUACAGAUGUGUUGCCAAGUGAGUCAACAAGCUCGAGGUCUGCUUGGCCUGCUGUCUUUAAAGUGCCCAAGUUUCCCUAUGAUGCUGAAUUAAAACUUCAGCAGGCAAGUAUGUUAUACAAUCAGAAUGGAACUGUACUUAUUCCAGAUCCAAAGUUGAAGUCAGCCAUUCUUGAUGGUUUGGUUCAGGAAAUUCUGGUGUACAAAGUGUAUGUCAGUGAUAAAGAAAUGGAUCAAGUUGCUCAGAGUUUGAUCAAGAAGCAUCCCUGUCUAACUGAGAGAGGCUCCAGCACUGGUUAUGGAGCAUGGAAAAUGAGCUUAAAAUAUAAGCUCUCCAACUAUCGAACCCAUCUACGAAAACUGGGAUGCCCAGAAGUGACUGUGAACUCUUUAAAGAACAAACCUGCUGGAAGAUGCAGUUCAGCCUUUGGUGUCAAAAAGGCAAAGAGAGCAGAAGUGAAUUUUUGUCCACCAUACCCAACAGAAGAAACUCAGGAAAGUUUAGAGGCGAUGCGGAAUGCUUUACUCUUGGAGACAAAGAAGAGGAACAACAGAGACUUGGUGAAACGCCAGAUGGAAAAAACUUUUGCAUACAGAAGACAUGAAGUUGUUCGUGAUGCACCGAUGGUGGAGGCUUUCAUGUCAAGAUGGCCUGGUCUAUUUGACAUUAGAGAGAUAAAUGCUGAGUUUAAGAGAAUUACGACCAUACCGCUUCAUUCAAAGUUCUUCUCUCAACUGGAUCUCCACUGUGACAACCUGAGGAAGCUCUUCAAAAGAAGAGGAGGACAGCUCGGACAAAAGCUUAGACAAAUUGUUGCACAAAUGGAUGAUUGUGAAGAUGUUGAUGUUGCACGGGAGUGUGUCAUUAAGGGAGUCUGCAUAUAUAUGGGAGAAGAUCCAGCCAAGCUCAUCCAUAAAUAUGUGGGUGUGGAUGAAGCUACUAUUGAAGAGGGUAUUGGAGCCACCACCAUCGGUGUUUUUCAUCUUAAAGACUGUUCUUCAGCAGAUGAAGACAUCGGGGUCGUUCUUGAAGGCAUCAGAGUGUUGUCCAAUUUGGAUAGUGUGCCAACAGCUGUUGCAAUGCUUUUUGGACUGAUAUAUGCAAUGAACCUCGCCUACCCUGCUGACCUCCGCUACACUUUCGAGGUAUUACAGAAAAUAGUAAUGGAACUGGAUGGAGGUAAACUGUCAAACAAGGCAUUGUCCCUUAAAAACCACCUCUAUGAGUGAAUA